CUAUAACUCCAAUGCGAUCAAGUUUCAGUGAUAAUAUGAUAAUUA
rnacentral:guide_RNA from 1 species